AUAAAUAAACCUAAAGUUUAGGAAUUAAUUUCGGCUUAAUUAUUAGUAUUAAUUUGCUUGUUUAUA
rnacentral:tRNA from 1 species